GUCUUACUCAAGCGGAAACAUGUCCCAUCUUUUAUACUGCGCAUGCGCGAGCUAAACAAGUGUAAUGCAGUGUUGACAAUAGAAAAUUAUAUUGGGAAGUUGUCAUUUCUACAGUAAAAACAGCUUUUUUUUUCAAGUAGUACGAAAUGUGACUUCGAUUUAUCUGUGCAACUAUUUGAACAGAAGGUAAAGCAGUAAUUUUGUUGUAUUUAGAAAGCAAACAGGGUCAUAUUUUUAAAAAUAUAGCGCACUGAAUAUAAA